rnacentral:rRNA from 1 species
GGAAGAUGCGAGCGUUAUCCGGAUUUAUUGGGUUUAAAGGGAGCGUAGGCGGAUGUAUAAGUCUGCGGUAAAAUGUCGGUGCUCAACAUCGGCCCGCCGUGGAAACUGUAUAUCUUGAAUGUACCCAAGGCAGGUGGAAUUCGUGGUGUAGCGGUGAAAUGCUUAGAUAUCACGAAGAACUCCGAUUGCGAAGGCAGCCUGCUGGAGUAUGAUUGACGCUGAGGCUCGAAAGUGCGGGAAUCAAA